AGUCGAACGAACACCUUGAUUUGAUUCUUCGGAUGAAGAUCUUGGUGACUGAGUGGCGGACGGGUGAGUAACGCGUGGGUAACCUGCCUCAUACAGGGGGAUAACAGUUAGAAAUGACUGCUAAUACCGCAUAAGACCACAGCACCGCAUGGUGCAGGGGUAAAAACUCCGGUGGUAUGAGAUGGACCCGCGUCUGAUUAGGUGGUUGGUGGGGUAACGGCCUACCAAGCCGACGAUCAGUAGCCGACCUGAGAGGGUGACCGGCCACAUUGGGACUGAGACACGGCCCAAACUCCUACGGGAGGCAGCAGUGGGGAAUAUUGCACAAUGGGGGAAACCCUGAUGCAGCGACGCCGCGUGAGCGAUGAAGUAUUUCGGUAUGUAAAGCUCUAUCAGCAGGGAAGAAAAUGACGGUACCUGACUAAGAAGCACCGGCUAAAUACGUGCCAGCAGCCGCGGUAAUACGUAUGGUGCAAGCGUUAUCCGGAUUUACUGGGUGUAAAGGGAGCGUAGACGGAGUGGCAAGUCUGAUGUGAAAACCCGGGGCUCAACCCCGGGACUGCAUUGGAAACUGUCAAUCUGGAGUACCGGAGAGGUAAGCGGAAUUCCUAGUGUAGCGGUGAAAUGCGUAGAUAUUAGGAGGAACACCAGUGGCGAAGGCGGCUUACUGGACGGUAACUGACGUUGAGGCUCGAAAGCGUGGGGAGCAAACAGGAUUAGAUACCCUGGUAGUCCACGCCGUANACGAUGACUANU
rnacentral:rRNA from 1 species